rnacentral:lncRNA from 1 species
CGGGCGGCUACAACGGGGACAUGAACAAAUUUAUCACGUACAUUACAUUGCUUAUCUCCAGUUUGUGUUCCUAUGUGUCUCUGUAGGUCAGUAUUUUAAUGCAUUUAAGUUCAUGUAUAGAUAAUAAUACAUGUACCUCAUAGUUAUAAGGUUUAUCACCAAUAAAUGUUCUAUUAUUUCUUCAAGUUUAUAUUAUCAUCAA